GACGAACGCUGGCGGCGUGCUUAACACAUGCAAGUCGAGCGGUAAGGCCCUUUCGGGGGUACACGAGCGGCGAACGGGUGAGUAACACGUGGGUGACCUGCCCUCAGCUCUGGGAUAAGCCUGGGAAACUGGGUCUAAUACCGGAUAUGACUCCAUGACGCAUGUUGUGGGGUGGAAAGCCUUGUGCGGCUGAGGAUGGGCCCGCGGCCUAUCAGCUUGUUGGUGGGGUGANGGCCUACCAAGGCGACGACGGGUAGCCGGCCUGAGAGGGCGACCGGCCACACUGGGACUGAGACACGGGCCCAGACUCCUACGGGAGGCAGCAGUGGGGAAUCUUGCGCAAUGGGCGAAAGCCUGACGCAGCGACGCCGCGUGAGGGAUGACGGCCU
rnacentral:rRNA from 1 species